GACGAACGCUGGCGGCGUGCUUAACACAUGCAAGUCGAACGAAGAGCGAUGGAAGCUUGCUUCUAUCAAUCUUAGUGGCGAACGGGUGAGUAACGCGUAAUCAACCUGCCCUUCAGAGGGGGACAACAGUUGGAAACGACUGCUAAUACCGCAUACGAUCUAAUCUCGGCAUCGAGGAUAGAUGAAAGGUGGCCUCUACAUGUAAGCUAUCACUGAAGGAGGGGAUUGCGUCUGAUUAGCUAGUUGGAGGGGUAACGGCCCACCAAGGCGAUGAUCAGUAGCCGGUCUGAGAGGAUGAACGGCCACAUUGGGACUGAGACACGGCCCAGACUCCUACGGGAGGCAGCAGUGGGGAAUCUUCCGCAAUGAACGAAAGUCUGACGGAGCAACGCCGCGUGAGUGAUGACUGCCUUCGGGUUGUAAAGCUCUGUUAAUCGGGACGAAAGGCCUUCUUGCGAAUAGUGAGAAGGAUUGACGGUACCGGAAUAGAAAGCCACGGCUAACUACGUG
rnacentral:rRNA from 1 species